rnacentral:rRNA from 1 species
CCUACGGGUGGCAGCAGUGGGGGAUAUUGCACAAUGGGGGAAACCCUGAUGCAGCGACGCCGCGUGAGGGAAGAAGGAUUUAGGUAUGGAAAGCUCUAUCAGCAGGAAAGAAAAUGACAGUACCUGACCAAGAAGCCCAGGCGAACUACGUGCCAGCAGCCGCGGUAAUACGUAGGGGGCAAGCGUUAUCCGGAUUUACUGGGUGUAAAGGGAGCGUAGGCGGUUUGGUAAGUCUGUAGUGAAAGCCCCGGGCCUAACCCCGGAACUGCCUUGGAAACUGUGGAACUGGAGUACAGGAGGGGCAGGCGGAAUUCCUGGUGUAGCGGUGAAAUGCGUAGAUAUCAGGCAGAACACCGACGGCGAAGGCAGCCCACUAGACUAUAACUGACGUUGAGGCUCGAAAGCGUGGGGAGCAAACAGGAUUAGAUACCCGGGUAGUC